AAUAGGGAUAGUUGGGGUCACUAGUAUUUAAUUGUCAGAGGUGAAAUUCUAAGAUUUAUUAAAGACUAACUACUGCGAAAGCAUUUGACAAGGAUGUUUUCAUUAAUCAAGAACGAAAGUUGGGGGAUCGAAGAUGAUCAGAUACCGUCGUAGUCUCAACCAUAAACUAUGCCGACCAAGGAUCCGGGGUUGUUAAUAUGGAUGACUCUCCGGGCACUUAUAGAGAAAUCAUAAGUAUUUGGGCUCCGGGGGGAGUAUGGUCGCAAGGCUGAAACUUAAAGGAAUUGACGGAAGGGCACCACAAGGAGUGGAACCUGCGGUUUAAUUUGACUCAACACGGGGAAACUUACCAGGUCCAGACACAGUGAGGAUUGACAGAUUGAGAGUUCUUUCUUGAUUCUGUGAGUGGUGGUGCAUGGCCGUUUCUAGUUGGUGGAGUGAUUUGUCUGGUUAAUUCCGUUAACGAACGAGACCUUAACCUAUUAAAUAGUUGUUUGAACUUGAUUCAAUUAACUUCUUAGAGGGACUCUUCACUGAGAGAGUGAAUGGAAGUUUGAGGCAAAAACAGGUCUGUGAUGCCCUUAGAUGUUCUGGGCCACACGCGCGUUACACUGACAUAUUCAACGAGCAUUAUCCUUGCCCGUCGGGGUUGGGUAAUCUUUUAAAUGUAUGUCGUGCUGGGGAUAGAUCAUUGUAAUUAUUGGCCUUGAACGAGGAAUUCCUAGUAAGUGCGAGUCAUCAACUCGCGCUGAUUACGUCCCUGCCCUUUGUACACACCGC
rnacentral:rRNA from 1 species